AGGUGGUAAACGCUGAAUGUUCACGAUGUGGCUGGCAAAAUUAAUAAAAAUAUGUUUCUCCGUUUCUACUGAAAAUCUUCGCUUCCGAAGUUUUCUUCGAAUUCGAGAUCUAUAUUCAAUUAUCCAAUCGUACGGAAAAUUUUCAGUCUUCCAUCCCUUAAUUCGGGAUAAAAUCGGCGAACUAAAGGAAAACAGGGUGACAAGGAUAAGGGAAAGCAUGAAAUAUCCACAUUGCGUGACACUGCAAUUUACAUGAAAGUAGAAAGCCUUUAAUCCAACGUUAGAUGCCGUGACUUUGUCGUGAAUCUACGAACGUACAUGAGGAAAGGAUCUAGGGUUUUCGAGAAGGGUCCACGAGAUUACGAGGAACAAGGACUGACUUUUCUUCGAUCGAUAUUUCCAUACGAUACCGUCUCGUAAAGAUUAUUCCGACGAUUUAACAUUAAAACGAAC
rnacentral:misc_RNA from 1 species